AUUGAACGCUGGCGGUAGGCUUAACACAUGCAAGUCGAGCGGUAACAGUCCUUCGGGAGCUGACGAGCGGCGGACGGGUGAGUAACGCGUAGAAAACUGCCCGGUAGUGGAGGAUAGCCCAGAGAAAUUUGGAUUAAUACUGCAUACGCUCUACGGAGGAAAGCGGGCUUCGGCUCGCGCUAUCGGAUGUGUCUGCGUGAGAUUAGCUAGUUGGUGAGGUAAUGGCUCACCAAGGCGACGAUCUCUAGCUGGUCUGAGAGGAUGAUCAGCCACACUGGGACUGAGACACGGCCCAGACUCCUACGGGAGGCAGCAGUGGGGAAUAUUGCACAAUGGGGGAAACCCUGAUGCAGCCAUACCGCGUGUGUGAAGAAGGCCUGG
rnacentral:rRNA from 1 species